AGUGAACGCUGGCGGUAGGCCUAACACAUGCAAGUCGAACGGCAGCACAGUAAGAGCUUGCUCUUACGGGUGGCGAGUGGCGGACGGGUGAGGAAUACAUCGGAAUCUACUUUUUCGUGGGGGAUAACGUAGGGAAACUUACGCUAAUACCGCAUACGACCUACGGGUGAAAGCAGGGGAUCUUCGGACCUUGCGCGAUUGAAUGAACCGAUGUCGGAUUAGCUAGUUGGCGGGGUAAAGGCCCACCAAGGCGACGAUCCGUAGCUGGUCUGAGAGGAUGAUCAGCCACACUGGAACUGAGGCACGGUCCAGACUCCUACGGGAGGCAGCAGUGGGGAAUAUUGGACAAUGGGCGCAAGCCUGAUCCAGCCAUACCGCGUGGGUGAAGAAGGCCUUCGGGUUGUAAAGCCCUUUUGUUGGGAAAGAAAAGCAGCAGGUUAAUACCCCGCUGUUCUGACGGUACCCAAAGAAUAAGCACCGGCUAACUUCGUG
rnacentral:rRNA from 1 species